UUAAUUUGUAAUGUUCUACAUUUUCCGGGUGUCAUCGGGUGCAUCGAUGGAACUCAUAUUCCUAUUAAAGCUCCUUCAGUGCAUGAAGGAGACUAUGUUAAUAGGAAGUCCUUCCACAGCAUCAAUGUGCAGGUUGUAUGUGAUGCCAGAAACAUCAUCACCCAAGUGGAGGCAAAGUGGCCGGGGUCUGUGCAUGACGCACGCAUAUUUCGGGAGUCUAAUUUGAGCACUCGCUUUGCCAUUGGAGAGUUCGACGGUCAUGUUUUAGGUGACAGAGGGUACCCCUGCCAGCCUUGCCUUCUGACCCCGUAUGCCGAUCCCGUGCCAGGACCACAGCAGCGCUACAACCUGGCGCAUAUGAGGACGAGAGCCAGGGUCGAAAACACUUUCGGGAUCCUGAAGGCAAGAUUCCAGUGCCUCAAAAUGCUGCGAGUCACACCAGAAAGGGCAUGUGAUAUAAUAAUUGCAUGUGUGGUUCUUCACAACAUCGCGAUUUGGAGAGGGGAAAAUUGCCCACCUGCAGUUGCAGAUGAGCAGCCCAUAAACCCAAACCAUGCCAUGGAUCCACAGGACGGAAGGGUGGUUAGAGAUAGACUCUGCCAAAAUCAUUUUGUUUGAGUUUUCUAUGUAGGCCUAGUUAAAUGUAUUUUAUUAUUUCCGAAAUGUUUUCUUUGGCAUUCUUUCGCCUUCCUGUAUAAUAAUAAAUUUAAUUUAGAGGCGCC